UUUCCGUAGGUGAACCUGCGGAAGGAUCAUUACCAAUCCCUGUGCAGCCUGGGCUCAUACCUAGGCUGGAUAGGCUUGAUACUGCCCCUGUAUUUUGCGCACUCAUGUUUCCUUGGUGGGCUUGCCUGCCAAAAGGACUAUACCAUAACCUCUUUAAUCUUGUAUCAACGUCUGAAUAAUAUAAUUAUUACAACUUUCAACAACGGAUCUCUUGGUUCUGGCAUCGAUGAAGAACGCAGC
rnacentral:misc_RNA from 1 species